UACGGAGGAUGCAAGCGUUAUCCGGAAUGAUUGGGCGUAAAGCGUCCGCAGGUGGCUAUGUAAGUCUGCUGUUAAAGAGUGAGGCUCAACCUCAUAAGAGCAGUGGAAACUACAUGGCUAGAGUGCGUUCGGGGCAGAGGGAAUUCCUGGUGUAGCGGUGAAAUGCGUAGAGAUCAGGAAGAACACCGGUGGCGAAAGCGCUCUGCUGGGCCGCAACCUGA
rnacentral:rRNA from 1 species